rnacentral:rRNA from 1 species
AGAGUUUGAUCCUGGCUCAGGACGAACGCUGGCGGCGUGCCUAACACAUGCAAGUCGAACGGAGAUACGAUUUCGGUUGUAUCUUAGUGGCGAACGGGUGAGUAACGCGUGAGCAACCUGACUCUUGGAGGGGGAUAACACUCGGAAACGGGUGCUAAUACCGCAUAAGACCACGACAUGGCAUCAUGACGAGGUCAAAGGAGCAAUCCGCUGAGAGAGGGGCUCGCGUCCCAUUAGAUAGAUGGCGGGGUAACGGCCCACCAUGUCAACGAUGGGUAGCCGAGCUGAGAGGCUGAUCGGCCACACUGGAACUGAGACACGGUCCAGACUCCUACGGGAGGCAGCAGUGGGGAAUAUUGGGCAAUGGGCGCAAGCCUGACCCAGCAACGCCGCGUGAGGGAAGAAGGCUUUCGGGUUGAAAACCUCUGUCCUUGGUGACGAAAAAAAUGACGGUAGCCAAGGAGGAAGCCCCGGCUAACUACGUGCCAGCAGCCGCGGUAAUACGUAGGGGGCGAGCGUUGUCCGGAAUUACUGGGCGUAAAGGGUGCGUAGGUGGCCUUUUAAGUUGGAUGUGAAAUACCCGGGCCUAACCUGGGGGGUGCAUCUAAUACUGGGAGGCUAGAGUGCAGGAGAGGAAAGCGGAAUUCCUAGUGUAGCGGUGAAAUGCGUAGAUAUUAGGAGGAACACCAGUGGCGAAGGCGGCUUUCUGGACUGUAACUGACACUGAGGCACGAAAGCGUGGGGAGCAAACAGGAUUAGAUACCCUGGUAGUCCACGCGGUAAACGAUGAAUACUAUGUGUAGGGGGUAUCAACUCCCCCUGUGCCGGAGCUAACGCAAUAAGUAUUCCGCCUGGGGAGUACGGCCGCAAGGUUGAAACUCAAGGAAUUGACGGGGCCCGCACAAGCAGCGGAGCAUGUGGUUUAAUUCGAAGCAACGCGAGAACCUUACCAAGGCUUGACAUCCACUUAAACGCAUGG